AUCAGGACACUCCAGUUGUGCCAAUUGGGAGAAGCCUCAGAACUGAUGUCCUUCUAAAUGCAGAAAAUGUAGUUCUGGAAAGUGGAGGUUCCGUGGUUAGAUUGGCUGGACUCUAUAUAUCCUUUGGUGGGCAUAAAUUUGGCUAGUGUGUUUAUUCCUUAGUUUCAUUUCCACCUUAACUGGCACAUACAAAUCAGAUAGAGGUGCACAUGUUUACUGGUUGGAGAAAGGGACAUCUGACCUUCGCCCAGAUCAUAUCCUUAACCUCAUACACUACGAGGUCAGUAACACUUAUAAGUUAUAAACCCGUGCGUGAGAAAGUGUACUGUUUAUAAGUUUUGCUAUGUGGGUUGGUAUUUGUGAC
rnacentral:lncRNA from 1 species